rnacentral:rRNA from 1 species
GACGAACGCUGGCGGCGUGCUUAACACAUGCAAGUCGAACGGUGACGAGGAGCUUGCUCCUCCGAUCAGUGGCGAGCGGGUGAGUAACACGUGAGCAACCUGCCCCAGACUCUGGGAUAACAGUUGGAAACAGCUGCUAAUACCGGAUACGAGACGGAGAGGCAUCUCUACCGUCUGGAAAGUUUUUCGGUCUGGGAUGGACUCGCGGCCUAUCAGCUAGUUGGUGAGGUAAUGGCUCACCAAGGCGACGACGGGUAGCCGGCCUGAGAGGGCGACCGGCCACACUGGGACUGAGACACGGCCCAGACUCCUACGGGAGGCAGCAGUGGGGAAUAUUGCACAAUGGGCGAAAGCCUGAUGCAGCGACGCCGCGUGAGGGAUGACGGCCUUCGGGUUGUAAACCUCUUUCAGCAGGGAAGAAGCGCAAGUGACGGUACCUGCAGAAGAAGCACCGGCUAACUACGUG